CCCAUUUUUUUUCCUCUAGGCUUUCCAGAGUUCUCUCAAUCUUCAGGCAAGAGUACCAGAGUUUUUGGGGGUUUAUUUUUAAGCUGGAGCCACCUGUGAAAGAACACUAUGACACCACAAUUUUUCUUUUUUGCCCUGCUUUGUUUCCUGUGCAAGUAUCAAUUGAAAAUUACAAUUUGAGGAAAUCCAGAUUUCAGAAAUCACAUUUCCUGUGGCAGGUUUUUAAAUCUGACUUUGGACUUAAUGUCUUGGUGGUUUUCGGAGGUGGUGUGGGUCUGGUUGAAGUACAACCCUUGAUGUUAACCCCAGACUCUUAAUGGGAUCGACCAGGUCUACAUUGCCAGUGAAUUCCUAACUUGCUACUUAGGCUUGAAUGUUUCUUUUCUUCCUUUCUCCUAUUCCGAAGUAAAAUACUGUCUUUGAAAGAAAUUUCCAUCAUGAAGAAGAAAUUUAAGAAGUUAGUGAGUACUCAAUGCCCUGUGCAUUACAUUAUUUCCAUUUUGUUUCCAAAGCCUCUGAGUCUUGGGAGAGAUUUCACCUUCAGACCAAACCACUCUAAUUUUCAUAGGAAGAAUGCAGUGUCUUGAAAAUACAGAAGCAAUAAGUAAUCAGUACUAAUAGAGUUACCAGUGUAUGUAAAUUCCAGUGCAUGCAGUUUUAUUUUUAUAUUGCUAUCGAUAAUGUCUUUUUGCUAGCAGGUGCAUUUUUAUAUAGAUAUAAUGAGUUUGGAAAGUUAAUAAGAAUGUUCCACUGCUGGAAUUAAGCAUUUUUAUAAAUAGUAGAAGAAAGUAAAAUACUGUCUAUGUUUUCUGUGGUAAACACCUUAAUGCUUAUAAAAAAGCGUUGGAUUUUAGUCUUGAAAACCUGUUUUAGAGGUUAGGAAAAAAAUUCCAGCAGCAUCAAUAGCAAACUGUAGCCUGUGUUCCUUUCCUUGGGAGGUGUUGUGCUUUCUGGGUAAGAUACUGGAGUGCAGAAAUGGAAGUGCAAGUCCUUAAUAAAUACGUUGUUCUUGACAGUGCUGGGGCAGAGUGGAUCAGGUGGCUGACAGGGUGUGUGAUUGUGUCAUAAAUACUGGGGGGAUUUGUGAGGAUCGGGGUGAGGCUGCCACCUGAUGCUCUUCAGAAGUUGUGCUGCUUUAUCAGACCCCUGUAGCAGCAACAGCAGGAUUUGAGAAACCACAGCCCCACCUGAUUUCUCCAUGUUAGGUAGGUUAUUUAUGUUCUUCUCCCAGUUAACCCUCAAAGAGUGAGGGCCAGCCUUGGAUGGCUCCCGUUUGGGUCAGCCUUUGAGUGGAGGUGCAGGUGUUUGAGUGCUUGGAGUGUGGGGGAGUUACUGAAAUUUCAUCAGGUCUAUCAGGAAUAAUGAAGCUCCCUUGCCAAAUCUGAAGCUGCCCUGGAAGUGAAGGUUAUGACUCCAAUUGUGUGUCUCUUGAACUGUUUGGCUCCUUUAAUUGUUUAUUGUUUAAUAUUCCUUGAAAUUUGAAUUUGGAAAGGAUACAUGUACAUAAAGGUGAUGUUUUAAAAACUAAAAGGCAUAUGUUCCAGCCC